UACGUAGGGGGCUAGCGUUGUCCGGAAUCAUUGGGCGUAAAGGGCUCGUAGGCGGUCUGUUGCGUCGGGAGUGAAAACUCAGGGCCUAACCCUGAGCCUGCUUCCGAUACGGGCAGACUAGAGGUAUGCAGGGGAGAACGGAAUUCCUGGUGUAGCGGUGAAAUGCGCAGAUAUCAGGAGGAACACCGGUGGCGAAGGCGGUUCUCUGGGCAUUACCUGACGCUGAGGAGCGAAAGUGUGGGGAGCGAACAGG
rnacentral:rRNA from 1 species